UGAAAUCGAAAAGAGUUGAGCAGAGAAUAUAUUGCAUGAGACAUUCGUUAAUUAUCUUGUUUUUAUCUAGGUAUUUUGAAUUAUAUCGCAUGUAAUAAAUCGUUUGACAAUGUUACAGAACACUGCAUGUGUUAUAACAUUGAGGGUGUUAUAACACAAUGCACGGUUCAAACGAUAAGCUUUCCGCGAGUCUUAUAAUCUUCAAAGAGUUGUUCACUUAACAUACAUGUUCAAUCAUGUACAGUCAUGGAUAUAAAUGUUUUAGCAUGAUAAAACUAUUACAAUGCGAAAGCACGAUCUCCAUAAUCACUUGCCAUGAUAUUGUUGUUGCAUUUUAUAGACAUGUCGAGCGUACGGACAGUGAAAGAACGCGAACUCUGGCAGUGGUACAAGAGAUGAAGAUCAAGAAGAAGAUAGAGGAGUACGUUAUUAUUUUUCCUGUCCUAAUCUUAACUUGUUUUAGAUUUUUCGUUUAGAUGAGGAGGAGGCUGAUGAAAAGAAGAGGAUGCUGACGGAGAGACGAGGAAGAUGCUGACGGAGCUACGAGGAGGAUGCUGAUGG